UACGUAGGUGGCAAGCGUUGUCCGGAUUUACUGGGCGUAAAGAGCGCGCAGGCGGUCGUUCAAGUCGCGUGUGAAAGCCCCCGGCUCAACUGGGGAGGGUCACGCGAUACUGAUCGACUCGAAGGCAGGAGAGGGUAGUGGAAUUCCCGGUGUAGUGGUGAAAUGCGUAGAGAUCGGGAGGAACACCCGUGGCGAAGGCGGCCAACUGGGCCGACCCUGACGCUGAGGCGCGAAGGCGUGGGGAGCGAACGGG
rnacentral:rRNA from 1 species